rnacentral:rRNA from 1 species
CCUGAACGCUGGCGGCGUGGCUAAGACAUGCAAGUCGUACGGGGCCGCAAGGCCCAGUGGCGAACGGGUGAGUAAUGAAUCGCUAAUGUGCCCCGGACUCAGGGAUAGCCGCUCGAAAGGGCGGGUAAUACCUGAUGACAUAACCCUGUCGCAUGGCAGGGUUCUCAAAGGUCCGCCGGUCUGGGAGCAGGCGAUUUCGUAUCAGCUAGUUGGUGAGGUAACGGCUCACCAAGGCGACGACGCGUAGCCGGACUGAGAGGUUGGCCGGCCACAUUGGGGACUGAGACACUGCCCAGACUCCGUACGGGGGCUGCAGUAACGAAUCUUCCGCAAUGCACGAAAGUGUGACGGAGCGACGCCGCGUGUGGGACGAAGUCC